rnacentral:lncRNA from 1 species
UUUGUGGCAAGUUCUGUUAAGAGGACACCUUCGUGGCGAGACUCUGAAAGGAAAGCCUCUGUGGCUAUUUUUGGAACGGAAUGCCUUCGUGGUUUAAUCUGAAGAACGACUCUCAUGAUGAUCAUCUGAAGACAACACCGAUGGGCAGACUUUGAAUGAAUGGCGUACACGGUAUUAUAAGAGUUGGCAAGUGUGGAUUAGAUUUGAAGGAAAAGCCAGUAUGGAAGGUUAUGGAAAA